UGGGAACGUACCUUUUGGUUCGGAACAACACAGGGGAAACUUGUGCUAAUACCGGAUAAGCCCUUACGGGGAAAGAUUUAUCGCCGAAAGAUCGGCCCGCGUCUGAUUAGCUAGUUGGUGAGGUAAUGGCUCACCAAGGCGACGAUCAGUAGC
rnacentral:rRNA from 1 species